AACAUAAUAAUUACAACUUUCAACAACGGAUCUCUUGGUUCAGGCAUCGAUGAAGAACGCAGCGAAAUGCGAUAAGUAGUGUGAAUUGCAGAAUUCAGUGAAUCAUCGAAUCUUUGAACGCACAUUGCGCCCUUUGGUAUUCCAAAGGGCAUG
rnacentral:rRNA from 1 species